rnacentral:misc_RNA from 1 species
UGGUUCUGGCAUCGAUGAAGAACGCAGCGAAAUGCGAUAAGUAAUGUGAAUUGCAGAAUUCAGUGAAUCAUCGAAUCUUUGAACGCACAUUGCGCCCGCCAGUAUUCUGGCGGGCAUUCCUGUUCGAGCGUCAUUUCAACCCUCAAGCCCCCGGGCUUGGUGUUGGGGAUCGGCCCCUCCUCUCCGGGGGGGCCGGCCCCGAAAUCUAGUGGCGGUCUCGCUGUAGCCUCCUCUGCGUAGUAGCAACACCUCGCACUGGAACGCGGCGCGGCCACGCCGUUAAACCCCCCACUUCUGAAGGUUGACCUCGGAUCAGGUAGGAAUACCCGCUGA